GGCCUACGGGGCGCAGCAGUGGGGAAUAUUGGGCAAUGGGCGCAAGCCUGACCCAGCAACGCCGCGUGAAAGAGGAAGGCUUUCGGGUUGUAAACUUCUUUUCUCAGGGACGAAGAAAGUGACGGUACCGUAAGAAUAAGCCACGGCUAACUACGUGCCAGCAGCCGAGGUAAUACGUAGGUGGCAAGCGUUAUCCGGCUUUACUGGGUGUAAAGGGCGAGUAGGCGGGAUUGCAAGUCAGAUGUGAAAACUAUGGGCUCAACCGAUAGAGAGCAUUUGAAACUGCAGUUC
rnacentral:rRNA from 1 species